rnacentral:misc_RNA from 1 species
CCAAUGUGUCCUGUCGUGAUCGUGGUCACAAUAUAGAAAAAUUCUUGUUUAUGAUUGCUAAGAGAUAUCUUUUCUGUACGAUCACUACGUCCUGUCGUGAUCGUGGUCGCGAUCACAGUGACCGCAUCUGUUUUACAUUAUAGUUAAGUGUACGUCGGUGCUGCAAAGUUAAAUACGACAGGGUUAUCGAAGUAUUUUUGUAGAUUUUCGGAAAUUUACACUAGUUUUUAACAGUCAUUGCUCAUAUGGUGAGGUAGUUGGGCGAGAUGUAGGCGUGCGUUUAGUUUUGAUACUUGCCCGUACUCUUAGUAUUCUGUAGCCCUCGCGACGCUCGAGUUCGAGACUAGUCAAUAUAUUAUACUCUUAUGUAUUAGUUAUAUUUUAUGACACAACUUUCCUACGAUUAUGUUAAUCUAUACUAAUGUUAUAAAGCCGAUGAGUUUGUUUGUUUGUUUGUUUGUCUGACACACACGCAUUAAGCUCAAGAACUACUAGUCGAAUUUGAAAAAUUCUUUCAGUGAUAGAUAGCCCGUUUAUCGAGGAAGGCUAUAGGCAAUUUUUUUUCCAAAUUAACCGGGUGAAACCGCGGUGCAGAGCUAUAUAUAUAGAUAUUUUAUUGUUGGUAUAUAUUAUGAAGUUAAUAUUUAUUUUUUAUUUCUGUUUUAUUUGUAAAAUAAAAGGUAAAACUUUGGUUUUCCUCGUUUCGGAUAAAAUAUAGUAUUUAUUCGUUUUUUUUUGUUUUUUUGUUCAUUUAUUUGUAUUGUUGUCAGUUAAACGUUCGAACACGAGUGUCGUGAGCGUUGCGAAGUUUAAAAUAGAAAAGUUUUCGUUGAAUCUCUUUAAUUGUAACUAUCAAGUCCUAUUAUGAUCUCAGUAUUGUAACUACUUAGUAUUCGGUGCUGGGGUAGAUGUUUUGUUUUAAGGUGUAACGCUAUUUUCAUAACUAUAACCCGUCGACAACCAGUAUUUAUAAUAAUUCGUUGACUGAAGAUUUUAGUUGUAUGGAAAGUUCACUGAAACUCAGUUGACUGUGAUUGUAACGAAACAGAUUUUUUAUCUGUUUGACUGAGUUGUCACACUUUAAAAGUUAUUGCAUUUAUUAUGUUAGAAAAGGGAUCGGGAUUUAGAGGGUUUUCAAUUCUUGUAUGAAUGAUUAAUUACGGACUGAAGUAUUUUCAUGUGAUACCUUAUUUUUUCCUCGCUAUUUUAAAGAUACAAAGGUUAACUCUCGGUGUAGGCGAAUGAAGCGCCCGCAGAACAACCGUUUGUAAAGAAAUCGUUUUGUGUAGUGACGCUUUGUACAUAAGCUCUUGUAAAAAUUUUCAAGUAUUUACUAUAAAUACCGUAAAUAAAUAAAUAAAUAAUUGUGAAAAUUAUUUAAAUGAUAUUUUUGGAGGGUAUUGUACCGUUUUGGCUGUGAUUCGGACGUAAUUUUUGCAAGUUUUUGGAUUUAAGGUUCGGUAGCCAUUAUGUUGAGACUCGCCACACUUGUAGGUACUCUUUUACGCCCAGUUUAACUCUAUCUCUGAAUUUGCUUACUAGAGAUGGAAUUUUGACGUAAGUUGCAUACAAAUUGCG